GAAUCAUCAGGCCGAAAGGAGGGCUCGGAAGCCGCCACGUGUCGCACAUCCGUGAGGCUUCGGUCGGCGCGGAGGCAUUUCGGCCGUCGGACGGCCCUAUAUAUAUAGGACCAUCCGGACCCAGGACCUCAUUGUUGACGUUUUGCUGCAGAAACUCUGUCCGGACGAUUUCUCAGUCGUCGCCGGCAGUCGUCUUCCCUCCUGCUUCCAAAAGGGUUCAUUGCCGGUUCGUGGUCUUCCCUUCCUCU
rnacentral:lncRNA from 1 species